CCUACGGGUGGCAGCAGUGAGGAAUAUUGGUCAAUGGGCGAGAGCCUGAACCAGCCAAGUCGCGUGAGGGAAGACGGUCCUACGGAUUGUAAACCUCUUUUGUCGGGGAGCAAUAAAGCGUACGCGUACGCAGAUGCGAGUACCCGAAGAAAAAGCAUCGGCUAACUCCGUGCCAGCAGCCGCGGUAAUACGGAGGAUGCGAGCGUUAUCCGGAUUUAUUGGGGUUAAAGGGUGCGCAGGCGGAAAGUGCAAGCCAGCGGGCAAACGACGGGGCUCAACCCGGUCUCGCCGUUGAAACUGGCUUUCUGGAGUGAGCGAGAAGUAUGCGGAAUGCGUGGUGUAGCGGUGAAAUGCAUAGAUAUCACGCAGAACUCCGAUUGCGAAGGCAGCAUACCGGCGCUCAACUGACGCUCAUGCACGAAAGCGUGGGUAGCGAACAGGAUUAGAUACCCUGGUAGUC
rnacentral:rRNA from 1 species